UAGAGUUUUGUUGGCUUGCAACUUUAUCAUGAAGUUAAGUUGUCUAAGUCAUUGUUAGCUUGCAACUUUAUCAUGAAGGAAGUUGUAUAGUCUUGUGCUUAAAAAUUUGCAUCUCUGACUCAUGCUUGCACUUUAUCAUAGACACUGAAGCCCAUGUCUCUUUUGUAAGGAUACUUUUGGAGAGAGAGGUCACAGCACAUGUGGAGCUUUAUUUGGUGGACGGAUGGAUGGGAUGUUACUAGCUUCUAGUGUAGAAGUCUAGUUUGUGGAUGUGGAGUGUACGUGAUCCUUAUCCUGAAAGUAUGAAGCAUAUUCCACAAGGGUCACAACAAUUUGGCAAAGCUCAACGUGAUAGCAAGCAGCAUAUGUAUACAAGUUUUUCCAUAAGAUCAACAUAUGGCUUUGGUAGGAUGGAGGCAUAUCAUUGAGGAGCUAGCUAGGUCAUUGUUUUUUUACAAGAUAAAUUUCCGAAGUACUUUGGACAUUGAGAGCAAGGUUCAUUUUAUCAUGCCAUAUCUCAAACAUCAACAACCUAGGUAGCACGCUUUCCUAAAGAUAUAGGCUCACAAGAAAAUAGGUGCAAGCAAGAAAUAUAGAACAUGUAUGCCAACCAUAAGGAGCAUGAUUUCAACCAAGGUUCAUUUUAAUUCUAAGUUUAA
rnacentral:lncRNA from 1 species